CACAGGUUUACCUGUGUGACUGCGUACCUUUUGUAUAAUGGGUCAGCGACUUAUAUUCUGUAGCAAGGUUAACCGAAUAGGGGAGCCGGAGGGAAACCGAGUCUUAAUUGGGCGUUAAGUUGCAGGGUAUAGACCCGAAACCCGGUGAUCUAGCCAUGGGCAGGUUGAAGGUUGGGUAACACUAACUGGAGGACCGAACCGACUAAUGUUGAAAAAUUAGCGGAUGACCUGUGGCUGGGGGUGAAAGGCCAAUCAAACCGGGAGAUAGCUGGUUCUCCCCGAAAGCUAUUUAGGUAGCGCCUCGUGAAUUCAUCUCCGGGGGUAGAGCACUGUUUCGGCUAGGGGGCCAUCCCGGCUUACCAACCCGAUGCAAACUGCGAAUACCGGAGAAUGUUAUCACGGGAGACACACGGCGGGUGCUAACGUCCGUCGUGAAGAGGGAAACAACCCAGACCGCCAGCUAAGGUCCCAAAGUCAUGGUUAAGUGGGAAACGAUGUGGGAAGGCCCAGACAGCCAGGAUGUUGGCUUAGAAGCAGCCAUCAUUUAAAGAAAGCGUAAUAGCUCACUGGUCGAGUCGGCCUGCGCGGAAGAUGUAACGGGGCUAAACCAUGCACCGAAGCUGCGGCAGCGACGCUUAUGCGUUGUUGGGUAGGGGAGCGUUCUGUAAGCCUGUGAAGGUGGCCUGUGAGGGUUGCUGGAGGUAUCAGAAGUGCGAAUGCUGACAUAAGUAACGAUAAAGCGGGUGAAAAGCCCGCUCGCCGGAAGACCAAGGGUUCCUGUCCAACGUUAAUCGGGGCAGGGUGAGUCGACCCCUAAGGCGAGGCCGAAAGGCGUAGUCGAUGGGAAACGGGUUAAUAUUCCCGUACUUGGUGUUACUGCGAAGGGGGGACGGAGAAGGCUAUGUUGGCCGGGCGACGGUUGUCCCGGUUUAAGCGUGUAGGUGUGUGUUCCAGGUAAAUCCGGUUCACUUUAACACUGAGGCGUGAUGACGAGGCACUACGGUGCUGAAGUAACAAAUGCCCUGCUUCCAGGAAAAGCCUCUAAGCAUCAGGUAACAUCAAAUCGUACCCCAAACCGACACAGGUGGUCAGGUAGAGAAUACCAAGGCGCUUGAGAGAACUCGGGUGAAGGAACUAGGCAAAAUGGUGCCGUAACUUCGGGAGAAGGCACGCUGACAC
rnacentral:rRNA from 1 species